rnacentral:rRNA from 1 species
CCUACGGGAGGCAGCAGUGAGGAAUAUUGGUCAAUGGGCGCGAGCCUGAACCAGCCACGUAGCGUGAAGGAUGACUGCCCUCCGGGUUGUAACCUUCUUUUAUAAAGGAAUAAAGUGAGGCACGUGUGCCUUUUUGUAUGUACUUUAUGAAUAAGGCUCGGCUAACUCCGUGCCAGCAGCAGCGGUAAUACGGAGGAGCCGAGCGUUAUCCGGAUGUAUUGGGUUUAAAGGGAGCGUAGAUGGGUUGUUAAGUCAGUUGUGAAAGUUUGGGGCUCAACCGUAAAAUUGCAAUUGAUACUGGCAGUCUUGAGUACAGUUGGGGUAGGCGGAAUUCGUGGUGUAGCGGUGAAAUGCUUAGAUAUCACGAAGAACUCCGAUUGCGAAGGCAGCUUACUAAACUGCCACUGACAUUGAUGCUCGAAAGUGUGGGUAUCAAACAGGAUUAGAUCCCCGGUAGUC